rnacentral:rRNA from 1 species
AGAGUUUGAUCAUGGCUCAGGAUGAAUGCCGGCGGCGUGCCUAAUACAUGCAAGUCGAGCGGUAAGGCCCUUCGGGGUACACGAGCGGCGGACGGCUGAGUAACGCGUGGGAACAUGCCCCAAAGUGAGGGAUAACGCACCGAAAGGUGUGCUAAUACCGCAUAUGGUCUUCGGAUUAAAGGAUUUAUCCGCUUUGGGAGUGGCCCGCGUACGAUUAGAUUGUUGGUGAGGUAACGGCUCACCAAGUCGACGAUCGUUAACUGGUCUGAGAGGAUGAUCAGUCAGACUGGAACUGAGACACGGUCCAGACUCCUACGGGAGGCAGCAGUAAGGAAUCUUCCACAAUGGGCGAAAGCCUGAUGGAGCAACGCCGCGUGCAGGAUGAAGGCCCUCGGGUCGUAAACUGCUUUUAUGAGUGAAGAAUAUGACGGUAACUCAUGAAUAAGCACCGGCUAACUACGUG